rnacentral:tRNA from 1 species
GGCCCUGUAGCUCAAUGGAUAGAGCAAACCCGUCCUAAGGGUGAGGUUGGAGGUUCGACUCCUCUCGGGGCCGCCA